rnacentral:rRNA from 1 species
AUGCGAUGGAUGGCUUUUGCAAACCCGACAUGCGGCGAUGUGGUUCAUGCCAACAGCAAAUAUGAUUGGCCAGUGUUGCCGGCUGGCGUCAAGUUCGAUCCCACGGAUCAAGAGCUGAUCGAGCACCUUGAGGCCAAAGUGAGUGCUGACAGCGCAAGAUCUCACCCUCUCAUCGAUUUGUUCAUACCAACCAUCGACAGCGAGCACGGCAUAUGCUACACCCAUCCUGAGAAAUUUCCAGGUAUCACACUGAGUGGCCUAAGCAAGCAUUUCUUCCAGCGCAAUUCCAGGGCGUUCAAAAGGGGCACGUGGACGCGUCGCAAGAUACAGUCGGAGUGCGGCAUGCAUGUCAUGUGGCACAACACCGGCAAUACCUUGCCGGUGAUGGUCAAUGGCCGCCAGACGGGCAUCAAAAAGGUUCUGGUGCUGCACACCAACAAGAACUUCGACCAGCAGAGGACCAACUGGGUGAUGCACCAGUACCACCUCGGGGACCUGGAGCAAGAGAAGGAGCGGGAGCUGGUCCUCUGCAAGAUUUUCUACCAGACGAACACUAGGGCCAGGAGUAAAAAGAUUAUAAGUUACACCUGCCGUUCGAAUUCACAGUUCUCCAAUUUUUUUGAAACAAGUGCAUGCUCUUAUUAUCACGACGGAAAAACAAUAUCCCUGCUGCAUCCCAGUUACAGUCUUUCAUGCGUACACAAGGUUUAUCAAAAAAGAAACUUAGUCAACAAUCGACUCUACUAG